CUAAGUAGCACAACAUAUCUUAAAGUCUAAAAAGAGGUCUAUACAGAAAGAGAAGACCACGACAGCAGAACAACCGGAGCACAUUAUCAAACCACAUACCAUCGGUUGCAACAAGUCCUAAGCGGAUCUAACCUUAGCCAAGACAAGAACAUUAAACAUCCCAAACCUUAAGAAGACCAGAAAAAAGCUAACCAACCCGCCAACAAACCCAAAGCCAACACCAACAAAGCUAGAGAUCCG
rnacentral:lncRNA from 1 species